rnacentral:lncRNA from 1 species
GGGUUCAGCUGUAGGCUGAUAAACAUGUGAGAACAUGAAGAAAUCCUGUAAAUUGGGAAUGUUGGGCCUUCAACUGCAGUGAAUUAGUGCAUAUGCUUGCUUCAGUCAUGAUCUGUCUGCUCACCAGCCAAGAGCCUGUGGUCCUGCGUCUCACUUUGUGGUGUUUAGGUACAGACAGAAAGGUAUAACCUGUCCUAGUUUAAGUUCAGCUGUGAGCACGGCACUCUAUGUUUCCACACCAGGUGGAUAUCAUAGCAACCACAGCUUGAGGAGGAAAAAAACCCAAAUAUUGUGAGUCUGAAAACCUGCUUUCUUUCGCAAUCUCUUAUUUCCAGGUGCUUGUAUCUAUAACAAACAGCUGCACAUGAAGUUGAGUUUUUCCAGACAAAGACAUUGUUCUAAAGGUUUGCCUUCACAUUUACCUUUUGAACAUGAAAAAGGCUAUUUUUUCCAUGGAGAGGAAAGGAUAAUUACAGGUCUUUGUAAGAAGAGUUACACUUCUGAGACGACCAAGGAAAUUCCUAGCCUGGAGAAUUUACUGGUGACAACCUCUCUCAGGUCACCAGCAAUUCAAUGUUAUAAAGGUCUUUGUUGAGACAUCACACACAACAUCAUGUUACAGUUAAUGUCCAAAUGUUGACUGAUGUAUGAAUGAUCUCCAAGGUUGUAACAAUUUUCAGUGGCGUUAGUAGCAGCACCCAAUUUUACUUGAAUUCUGAUGAAUUUUGAAAAACACUCACACUGGAAUAUUACUAUCUGCUAAGGGAGGAUGUAUAUAUACUGCAAUGUAUUGUAAUGAGAUAAGUUCCUGGUUGUCAAUUUUAAUAGUUGCCCCAACAGACACUGGAAAGCUGAUGACUGAAAUUUAUUACAUAAACAAUAAACAAUAAGCAAUUUUAUAUGUAAAUUCCUGG